GUGCCAGCAGCCGCGGUAAUACGGAGGGUGCAAGCGUUAUUCGGAAUUACUGGGCGUAAAGCGCGCGUAGGUGGCUUGAUAAGCCGGUUGUGAAAGCCCCGGGCUCAUCCUGGGAACGGCAUCCGGAACUGUCAGGCUAGAGUGCAGGAGAGGAAGGUAGAAUUCCCGGUGUAGCGGUGAAAUGCGUAGAGAUCGGGAGGAAUACCAGUGGCGAAGGCGGCCUUCUGGACUGACACUGACACUGAGGUGCGAAAGCGUGGGUAGCAAACAGGAUUAGAUACCCUGGUAGUCCACGCCGUAAACGAUGUCGACCAGCCGUUGGGUGCCUAGCGCACUUUGUGGCGAAGUUAACGCGAUAAGUCGACCGCCUGGGGAGUACGGCCGCAAGGUUAAAACUCAAAUGAAUUGACGGGGGCCCGCACAAGCGGUGGAGCAUGUGGUUUAAUUCGAUGCAACGCGAAGAACCUUACCUACCCUUGACAUCUACAGAAGCCGGGAGAGAUCCUGGUGUGCCUUCGGGAACUGUAAGACAGGUGCUGCAUGGCUGUCGUCAGCUCGUGUUGUGAAAUGUUGGGUUAAGUCCCGUAACGAGCGCAACCCUUGUCCCUAUUUGCCAGCACGUAAUGGUGGGAACUCUAGGGAGACUGCCGGUGACAAACCGGAGGAAGGUGGGGACGACGUCAAGUCAUCAUGGCCCUUACGGGUAGGGCUACACACGUGCUACAAUGGCCGGUACAAAGGGUUGCCAACUCGCGAGAGUGCGCCAAUCCCGAAAAGCCGGUCUCAGUCCGGAUCGGAGUCUGCAACUCGACUCCGUGAAGUCGGAAUCGCUAGUAAUCGUGAAUCAGAAUGUCACGGUGAAUACGUUCCCGGGCCUUGUACACACCGCCCGUCACACCAUGGGAGUGGACUGCACCAGAAGUGGUAUGA
rnacentral:rRNA from 1 species